UUUUCAGGUAUUUUGGCCUUGAACGGAUUUCCGAUUCCUGAGUGAUGUUUAUGCAUGGUCAGCUGUUUUCAUUUUACCAAUAAACUCUGCUCUUAACCCGUUUUUGUAUACAGUGACAGCAAUAAUCGGGAAGAAGAGUUUUAAUCCAAGCCUUGAUGAGCAGAGUCGAACAGCGGUCCAGAAAGAAAUUGGUAAAGCCAUUUUGGAAUACCAGCAAUUGAGCAGAUCUGUGCGGAUGAUAAGUGAACUUGUACCAGUUGGGACGAAACGUAGUAUUCAAGAAAUUCUUGAUGAUGACAGUUGCUUGUCAGUCAAUGUUGUUGCAGCUCUGUGCAAAGAACUUGCCGAUUAUCUACGUCUUUUGCAUGAAGGUUUUAUUGUUUUAGAUCUGAUAUCUGUGGAAAACAUUUACAUUACAGUGUUUAAAACAAAGGUUAACAAACCAAUCGUUGUAAUCGAUGCCAAAGCGUUGUUAGCUGCUGAUGAAAGAGCUCUACAGGAAAAUAUUCUCCAAUUUGGUAGCCUCCUGCGAAAGCUUAUCUUAAAAUGUGAAAAGGGUUUAAAGUAAAGAGUGGUAUUAGAUGGAAGGAAGUUGUCUCUGUUACGAAGCAUAUGUACUCAGUAAUAUAUAAGAGUGAGACAAAAAUAAGUGUUGGAGCACCAUACUGCUUCUACACUGUCGACAGUACAGACAUUUCAUUCGUACUGGAUGACGUGAAUAGGAAAUUGAAAUUAUUUGACACUUUAUUUCUACGUAUAGAUAUUUUGAAUUUCAAGUGACGUACUGUUUUUGUUUUAGAUAUCUUUGUACAUAAACGUUCAUUGUACCGUCAAUAUAUAAUAAAAAUAUCAUACUGUGUCAAAUUACAAUCGGAACAACUCGGCCUAUAUCUAAAAUAAUUCUCGGACAUAAUACGGAUUGAAAUUACACAAAUGUAGUUCUUCAACGUGGUUUAAGAUGUAAUAAAGACAGGGGGCGCAUUCUUUGCUAAAAUGUGACAAUUUUUUGUAUCUAACAUCCAAAGGAAUAUACAGAAGAAUAUUUAGGUAAAAUAAUGAUUUAAAAUAUGUAUUUCAAUUAUAAUCAAUCAAAAAAUGCCAACAGAAAAUCAAACCCAAAUUUAUGUCAACAGGUUUCUACAACCAUCAUAAUAAGUAUAUGAAAAAUGUACUGCUUACAUUUAUGUCUAUGAAUUUACUUAAUUAAUGUGGAUUUUUACUCGAUUUAUUUUGGGAAAAAUAAGUUUACAACUCUUGGCAUUUCUAAUUCCAACUUACUUAGCGUAGGUUAGACCAACAUACCUUAUCCGUUCUGUGUAAUCUUACUUUUGUGUUCGAUCGUGUUCUUAUCCGAAGUUUGACGGAAAGGGCAGAGAAGUUGCGAUUGUGUCAAAUCAUUGUUGUUUUCAUGUUUUUGUUUUAAAUACGUUUGUUCUGCUAUUGUGGUUGCUAUUUUGUCAAUUUUAAUGGUAUUUUUACUUAUUCAAUAUUCAUAAAAUAGUAUAAAAAUCAAUUUUAACCAUGGGAUACGUUACCGCUGUUAAAAGAUAUAUUCAUUAUUUUUUAUUUUAUUUUGUAGAUGCCGUUGUCAAUUUUAAAUCAGUGUUUUCCAAUAACCGAGUGAUUGAUGUUGUAAAAUUCAAUUAGUGGUUUUUUUAUUAAUAUUUGUUAUUUUAUUAAUAUUUGUUAUUUUAUUAACAUUUGUUAUUUUAUUAAUAUUUGUUAUUUUAUUAAUAUUUGUUAUUUUAUUAAUAUUUGUUAUUUUAUUAAUAUUUGUUAUUUUAUUUAUAUUUGUUAUUUUAUUAAUAUUUGUUAUUUUAUUAAUAUUUGUUAUUUUAUUAAUAUUUGUUAUUUUAUUUAUAUUAUUAAACUUAUAAUGUAUAAUGUUGUCAUCAUAGUAUCAAUGUUGUUUAUUGUGACAGUGCUGUGUAUUCUUACUAUUCUUUUAGAGGUUAUUUUCCGAAGUUUGACGGAAAGAGUCGAGAAGGUGCAAUUGUAUCAAAUCAUUGUUAUACAUGUUCUUAUAAGUGUUGUAUCUUUUGUUGUAUAUGAAUUAUUUGUCAGAGAGGAGGGGUGGUAGUUAUUGUGGUAAAGAUUAAAAUCCUGGCAACAUUGGUUCGAGUCCUACUCGUUUGAUAUCUAUGUACCCCUUGUGAAACCAGUACAAGUUAUUUGGAAAGUUCAAAGAGGAGAAUUCGAUAGCUGACAAAGAAAGAGUUCUUUAGAGGAAAAUAUCCGAUACUUUGGAAACUUUCUUCGUAAACAAAUUUCAAAAUGUAAAAAAAGGUAAUGUGUGGUACACAAAAUUUUACAAUACAAAUUGCAGAUAUUAAGUAUUAGAAUCAAUAAUGUUGAACAUGGGAUACGUUACCGCUGUUAAAACAAUAUAUUCAUUUAAUGUUUUUAUUUUGUCGAUGAUGUUGUCAAUUUUAAAUCAGUGUUUCCAAUAACUAAGUGAUUGGUGUUUUAAAAAUUUAAUCAUUUGUUAUUUUAUUAAUAUUUGUUAUU